rnacentral:rRNA from 1 species
UUGAUGUGUAGGAUAGGUGGGAGGCUUUGAAGUGUGGACGCCAGUCUGCAUGGAGCCGGCCUUGAAAUACCACCCUUUAAUGUUUGAUGUUCUAACGUUGGCCCCUGAUCGGGGUUGCGGACAGUGUCUGGUGGGUAGUUUGACUGGGGCGGUCUCCUCCUAAAGAGUAACGGAGGAGCACGAAGGUUGGCUAAUCCUGGUCGGACAUCAGGAGGUUAGUGCAAUGGCAUAAGCCAGCUUGACUGCGAGCGUGACGGCGCGAGCAGGUGCGAAAGCAGGUCAUAGUGAUCCGGUGGUUCUGAAUGGAAGGGCCAUCGCUCAACGGAUAAAAGGUACUCCGGGGAUAACAGGCUGAUACCGCCCAAGAGUUCAUAUCGACGGCGGUGUUUGGCACCUCGAUGUCGGCUCAUCACAUCCUGGGGCUGAAGUAGGUCCCAAGGGUAUGGCUGUUCGCCAUUUAAAGUGGUACGCGAGCUGGGUUUAGAACGUCGUGAGACAGUUCGGUCCCUAUCUGCCGUGGGCGCUGGAGAACUGAGGGGGGCUGCUCCUAGUACGAGAGGACCGGAGUGGACGCAUCACUGGUGUUCGGGUUGUCAUGCCAAUGGCACUGCCCGGUAGCUAAAUGCGGAAGAGAUAAGUGCUGAAAGCAUCUAAGCACGAAACUUGCCCCGAGAUGAGUUCUCCCUGACUCCUUGAGAGUCCUGAAGGAACGUUGAAGACGACGACGUUGAUAGGCCGGGUGUGUAAGCGCAGCGAUGCGUUGAGCUAACCGGUACUAAUGAACCGUGAGGCUUAACCUUACAA